GCCUUCGUGGUGUAGUGGUCAGCAGUCUCGAAUUGUAUUCGAGAAGACCGUGGUUCGAGUUCCGGUGAGGGUA
rnacentral:tRNA from 1 species